rnacentral:rRNA from 1 species
UUUAUUUAGUUUAAGAAGUAAAUUAACUAAUAAAUGAAACUUGAAACAUCAAAUAGUUAAGUAAUGGAGAAAGAAAUUUAAUAUACAAAAAUAAAAGUACUGCAAAGGAACAAAACUAAAGACAAAAAAACUAGCUUAAUUUGCGUACUUUUUGCAUCACGGCUUAGCAAGAAUUGACUUAAAAUUUUAAAUUCUCGAAAGUUAGCGAGCUAUUUUUUUCUGGGGAUUAUGGACCUGAUUUUUAAAAAUUAUUCAAAAUGUAGCAAAAUUUUAAUAAGAGAAAAAAAUAGAGAUGAAAUUUUAUCCGUGCUAACGAUAGCUAGUUUUUCCAGAAGUGUAUAGAAGUACUAAAGUAAAAAUAAGCCAGAGAAAUUCUAGUUUUACGGCUUGUUUUAAUAUUAAAAGUUCUCAAGGAUAAGCUUGAAAACAUUUGGUAAGAGAUAUAUAUAAGACUUAUAAUGCAGGCUUGAAAUUGGCCAUCAUAAAAAACUUGUUAUAAAGUAGUUUUUGUAUUAUAUAAAAUAAAUAUAUUUUCAUUCCAGUUUUUAUGGAAAUAAAGAAUAAAAUUAAUCAGUUUUUUAGCCUAUGCUAAGAUGAGUAUUAAAAACUAAGAUAUAAAACAAGAACAGUCAAAUUUGAGUUCUUAUAAAAUAAAUAUUAAAUAAAACUAAAUAAGAAGAAGGAACUCGGCAAAAUAAAUUGCUUCGCCUGUUUAUCAAAAACAUGGCUCUUUGCUAAAGAAAUAUAAAGAGUCGGACCUGCCCAGUGAAAAUUUUUAACGGCCGCGGUACUCUGACCGUGCAAAGGUAGCAUAAUCAUUUGCCUUAUAAUUGAAGGCUUGUAUGAAUGGUUUAACGAGAGCAAUACUGUCUCCUUUUUAAUUAUUAGAAUUUAACUUUUAGGUGAAGAGGCCUAAAUAAAAUUGAAGGACAAGAAGACCCUGUCGAGCUUAAAAGAAAAAUAGAAAAUAAACUAUAUUUGUUUUAAAUGAAUAACUAUUAAAGCUUUUUGGUUGGGGCGACUAAGGAACAAAAGAAGCUUCUUUAAAUAAAUAAACUUAUUAGUAAUGAUCCAGUAAAUCUGAUCAAAAAAAUUAGUUACCGCAGGGAUAACAGCAUAAUCUCUCUUGAGAGACCUAAUCGAAAGAGGGGGUUGUGACCUCGAUGUUGGACUAGAAUAUCCUAAAGAUGCAGAAGUCUUUAAGGGUUGGUCUGUUCGACCAUUAAAAUUCUACGUGAUCUGAGUUCA